rnacentral:rRNA from 1 species
UACGGGGGGGGCAAGCGUUGUUCGGAAUUACUGGGCGUAAAGGGCUCGUAGGUGGCCAACUAAGUCGGACGUGAAAUCCCUCGGCUUAACCGGGGAACUGCGUCUGAUACUGGAUGGCUUGAGUUCGGGAGAGGGAUGCGGAAUUCCAGGUGUAGCGGUGAAAUGCGUAGAUAUCAGGAGGAACACCGGUGGCGAAGGCGGCUAUCUGGACAGAGUCUGACGCUGAGGCGCGAAAGCUAGGGGAGCAAACAGG